rnacentral:rRNA from 1 species
UACGGGGGGGGCAAGCGUUGUUCGGAAUUACUGGGCGUAAAGGGCUCGUAGGCGGCCAACUAAGUCAGACGUGAAAUCCCCAGGCUCAACCUGGGAACUGCGUCUGAUACUGGAUGGCUUGAAUCCGGGAGAGGGAUGCAGAAUUCCAGGUGUAGCGGUGAAAUGCGUAGAUAUCUGGAGGAAUACCGGUGGCGAAGGCGGCAUCCUGGACCGGCAUUGACGCUGAGGAGCGAAAGCGAGGGGAGCAAACAGG